CCUACGGGAGGCAGCAGUGAGGAAUAUUGGUCAAUGGGCGUAAGCCUGAACCAGCCAAGUCGCGUGAGGGAUGAAGGCUCUAUGGAUCGUAAACCUCUUUUAUAAGGGAAUAAAGUGUGGGACGUGUCCUGUUUUGUAUGUACCUUAUGAAUAAGGAUCGGCUAACUCCGUGCCAGCAGCCGCGGUAAUACGGAGGAUCCGAGCGUUAUCCGGAUUUAUUGGGUUUACAGGGUGCGUAGGCGGCCUUUUAAGUCAGGGGUGAAAGUAUGUGGCUCAACCAUGGAAUUGCCGUUGAAACUGGCAGGCUUGAGUAUGUUUGAGGCAGGCGGAAUGCGUGGUGUAGCGGUGAAAUGCUUAGAUAUCACGAAGAACCCCGAUUGCGAAGGCAGCCUGCUAAGCCAUGACUGACGCUGAUGCACGAAAGCGUGGGGAUCAAACAGGAUUAGAUACCCUUGUAGUC
rnacentral:rRNA from 1 species